rnacentral:rRNA from 1 species
UGGGGAAUUUUGGACAAUGGGGGAAACCCUGAUCCAGCCAUCCCGCGUGUGCGAUGAAGGCCUUCGGGUUGUAAAGCACUUUUGGCAGGAAAGAAACGUCAUGGGUUAAUACCCCGUGAAACUGACGGUACCUGCAGAAUAAGCACCGGCUAACUACGUGCCAGCAGCCGCGGUAAUACGUAGGGUGCAAGCGUUAAUCGGAAUUACUGGGCGUAAAGCGUGCGCAGGCGGUUAGGAAAGAAAGAUGUGAAAUCCCAGAGCUCAACCUUGGAACUGCAUUUUUAACUACCGGGCUAGAGUGUGUCAGAGGGAGGUGGAAUUCCGCGUGUAGCAGUGAAAUGCGUAGAUAUGCGGAGGAACACCGAUGGCGAAGGCAGCCUCCUGGGAUAACACUGACGCUCAUGCACGAAAGCGUGGGGAGCAAACAGG